rnacentral:rRNA from 1 species
GACGAACGCUGGCGGCGUGCUUAACACAUGCAAGUCGAACGGAAAGGCCCUGCUUUUGUGGGGUGCUCGAGUGGCGAACGGGUGAGUAACACGUGAGUAACCUGCCCUUGACUUUGGGAUAACUUCAGGAAACUGGGGCUAAUACCGGAUAGGAGCUCCUGUUGCAUGGUGGGGGUUGGAAAGUUUCGGCGGUUGGGGAUGGACUCGCGGCUUAUCAGCUUGUUGGUGGGGUAGUGGCUUACCAAGGCUUUGACGGGUAGCCGGCCUGAGAGGGUGACCGGCAACACUGGGACAGAGAGAAGGCCCAGAAUCCUACGGGAGGCAGCAGUGGGGAAUAUUGAACAAUGGGCGGAAGCCUGAUGCAGCAACGACGCGUGCGGGAUGAAGGACUUCGGGUUGUAAACCGCUUUCGCCUGUGACGAAGAGUGAGUGACGGUAAUGGGUAAAGAAGCACAGGAUAACUACGUG